AAUUAGGAAACUAAGGCUCAGAAAGAUGCAGUCAGUUGUCCAAGGUCACUGAGCUAAUUGCAAAGCAGGAUGGCAAAGUCUGAAUUUGAACCCGGGUCUGACUUCCCAGCCUGAAUCGCCUAUGAUUUAGUUCAAUUUGUUCAGGCUACGGCAACGUUUCAAGCGGUAUGUUUCUUUAAAAAGUUUAGGAAGUCAGUGAAUCUGAAACUGGCAGACCGGCUCCAAAAAAAAAACGGGAACAAAUCUGUGAUCUUUGCCCUUUCACUUACUCAUCCAGUGGUGCCGAAGCUCUCUGGACCGUCUGCCGCAACACUUCACGGUUCCGUCGGGCUGGGAAGAAGUUCAUUCUCUUAGUUCAUCCAGCCUACUGCCUGGAUCCCCACUUGCCUGGUGAAUGAGGGUGCCUGGGUGGUAUCUGCAGCUCAGGUUCUCAAUCACUGCUGGCUGUACCCAAGCACUGUGCCUCUGUGGGCUGGCCGAGCAUGCAGCCAGCUGACUCCUGCGGUCUGAGAGUCCCCCAACGAUUUGGCAAUAUCUGUUGAAAUAAAAAAUGCAUGCAUAUUCUGAUUCAGCAAGUCUACUGGUAGAAACGCAGGCCGUGGCAUGUACGCAAGACAUGGCUAUGAGCAUCUCAGCAAGGCCUGUGGGCAAGAGUGGGAACCACCUUCAUGUCCACUGAGAGAGGGAAAACGAAGGCACAGAGAGGUUAAUAAUUUACCAAAGAUGAUACAAGAAGUGAAGAGGCCUGGAUGAGAGCCCAAGAUCCUGGUCUGAUCCCCAAACCGACGCUCUUACUAAUACAGCGCACACACAUUUCUUCAUUGAAAACAAGUCCUGAGAAACUUCUGAUCCCAAACAUUGCCCCAUACAGCGAUCGCGUGACCCUAUGUCUGACACGAGACUGGCCCUCACAGGCCAGCUGCUGCUUCACCUGGCCCAGGUCACCGCGCCCGGCCCCGCAGAGCCCCAGGCUCCACGCACGUGGCCGGCAGGGACACCGAGGCUCCUGCCGGCGUCCCGGGGGGCGCCCGGCUGAUGAAACGCAGCCUGCAGCGGGGCUCGGCGCGGGCCCGGAGGAGCGGUCCCUCUUGGCCCCGAGGCGAGCCGGGCGGGCGGCUCCUCUGGGCGGG